GAUGAACGCUAGCGGGAGGCCUAACACAUGCAAGUCGAGGGGUAGAACACUUCGGUGUUUGAGACCGGCGCACGGGUGCGUAACGCGUAUGCAAUCUACCUUGUACAGGGGAAUAGCCCAGAGAAAUUUGGCUUAAUGCUCCAUAGUAUAUAACCUUCGCAUGUUGGUUAUAUUAAAGUUCCAACGGUACAAGAUGAGCAUGCGUUCCAUGAGUUAGUUGGUAAGGUAACGGCUUACCAAGGCGAUGGUGGGAAGGGGUCCUGAGAGGGAGAGCACCCCCACUGGUACUGAGACACGGACCAGACUGCUACCGGAGUCAGCAGUGAGGAAUAGUGGUCAAUGGGCGCAAGACUGAACCAGCCAUGCCGCGUGCAGGAAGACGGUCCUAUGGAUUGUAAACUGCUUUUAUACAGAAAGAAACCCUCCCACGUGUGGGAGAUUGACGGUACUGUAGGAAUAAGGAUCGGCUAACUCCGUGCCAGCAGCCGCAGUAACAC
rnacentral:rRNA from 1 species